AGUCCAACAUACAUACCCCCCCCCCCCUGUCAGCCUUUCACUUCAUGGUCAUGGGACUCUGGCCAUAUAAUGGCUGCCCCCUCCCCCUUCCUGUUCUCAUGCUACAAUGUUGGGACCACAGCCAAAGGCAGGAUGAGGAGGAAGAGGAGCAGCAGCAGCAAAAGGAAGGGAGGUUGUUUUACAUGGAUAGGGCUGUGACAUGGUCCCAUGGUACCUCAUUUACCUCUAAUUUGCUCUCAAGAUGUAGCCAAUGGUCCACUCACUCUCCAGAGAAAUGAAAGUACCAAAUUCUGUAUAGAUGGUUUGAAAGUGAUAUAGACAAUGGCAGAUUUGGAUGGGAGCUGAGUAGCAGUUGCAGGGGAGGAGGAGAGGUUGAAUUGCAUCAGCAGGGAUGGUCAUCUGGCAAUAUUUCAGCCAGAGGGAGAGAGUGGGAGAGACAAGUGGUAGUGUAGUGUAGUGUAGUGUAGUGUAGUGCACUAUCUAACUCCCUUUCUGGGGGUCAUGAAACAUGGGUGCACUGCCCCACCUGCAAGACAAUGCUGCCCUUGUAUGGACCCCCACUCUGAUGAUGAGACAUGUGAUGAGACUGGCAACUGAAUUGGAGAUCUUCCCAGUAUGAUAUCAUCAAUUAUUUAUUGUUCCAA